GCUGGGGUGGCUUAAGCGAUAAUAGAAAUAUUAUUGCGGCAAAGCGCGGGACUCAUAAUCCCGAAGUCGGGGGUUCAAAGCCCCCUCCCAGCA
rnacentral:tRNA from 1 species